rnacentral:tRNA from 1 species
GCGGAUGUGGUGGAAUUGGUAGACACGCUAGUCUUAGGAACUAGUGCCUCCGGGCGUGAAGGUUCAAGUCCUUUCAUCCGCACCA